UACAGGGGGGUGCAAACGUUGCUCGGAAUCAUUGGGCGUAAAGCGCACGUAGGCGGUCUGUUAUGUCGGAUGUGAAAGCCCUUGGCUCAACUGAGGAAGUGCAUCCGAAACUGGCAGGCUAGAGUACUAAAGAGGAUCGCGGAAUUCCCGGUGUAGAGGUGAAAUUCGUAGAUAUCGGGAGGAACACCGGUGGCGAAGGCGGCGAUCUGGGUAGAUACUGACGCUGAGGUGCGAAAAGCGUGGGGGAGCAAACAGG
rnacentral:rRNA from 1 species